AGCUAAUGCUACUCCUAAUCUCCCCACUAAAAAAGGCCUCUCUUUUGUGCAUCCAUUUUGACAUAGCCCAACUACUGGGUGAAACUGUAGCUCAAAACCAAAAAAGUGAAAUGUUGGUUUUUGGAGAUUUUAAUAUUGAUUGGCCGAAUCCUAAAAAUAAUAAAUCAUGUACGUUGUUUAAGACUUUCCAGCUAACACAAUUCAUUUCCUCCCCAACUCGCAUUAAUAUUAAAAGCCAGAACCAUACCUUGCUCGAUUGCAUUCUCC